AUUUGACUAGAAAACUAACCAAGCUUCUUCCUGCUUCUCAAAACUUUGAUGGUGUAGCCGAAGUCCGUAUGAGGCUUUGGCUUUGCAUCUUCUAACAAGGAAACACUACUUAUGCUUUUACGAUUCAGUUGCGGUUCUAGUUCUUAUACUCAAUCAUACACAUGACAUCUAGUCAUAUUUGACUCGAAAACACUAACCAAGCUUCUUCGUGCUUCUCAAAGCUUUGAUGGUGUAGCAGAAGUCCGUAUGAGUCAU
rnacentral:sRNA from 1 species